AGAGUUUGAUCCUGGCUCAGGAUCAACGCUGGCGGCGUGCCUAAUACAUGCAAGUCGAGCGAAGCACUUAACUUUGAUUCUUCGGAUGAAGAGUUUUGUGACUGAGCGGCGGACGGGUGAGUAACACGUAGGUAACCUGCCUCACACAGGGGGAUAACAGUUAGAAAUGACUGCUAAUACCGCAUAAGCGCACAGGACCGCAUGGUCUGGUGUGAAAAGCUCCGGCGGUGUGAGAUGGACCUGCGUCUGAUUAGCCAGUUGGCGGGGUAAAGGCCCACCAAAGCGACGAUCAGUAGCCGGCCUGAGAGGGUGGACGGCCACAUUGGGACUGAGACACGGCCCAGACUCCUACGGGAGGCAGCAGUAGGGAAUAUUGCACAAUGGGGGAAACCCUGAUGCAGCGACGCCGCGUGAGCGAAGAAGUAUCUCGGUAUGUAAAGCUCUAUCAGCAGGGAAGAAGAUGACGGUACCUGACUAAGAAGCACCGGCUAAAUACGUGCCAGCAGCCGCGGU
rnacentral:rRNA from 1 species